GAAACAUAGCAAGCAAAUUCACACUGAAGCUGUCUCCUUGUUUUCACACCAGUAAGAGGGUCUCCAAUAACAUUUGACAAUGGGUGAUCUUUCACAGGUGUAAGUUCAGAUGAGGUGAUAGGGGUUUCAGAUGAAUCAUGUGAUGCAAUAUUAUCAACAGUUUCAGCAGAAAUAUCAGGCACAGAAAUUUCAUCAAUCACAGGCAAGUUAAAUGGAGAAUCAUUAUCAUCAUCAGUCAUCAAAGCAUUUGAAGAACCAUUCACAGAAGAUCCUACUGAAGAAGCUUCAUCUACUUUUAUAUUAAUGGAUUCUAUCACCGUCUUAGUACGUAAAUUGUACGCACGAUAAGCACGACUAGAAGUAAAAUAUCCAAG
rnacentral:lncRNA from 1 species